rnacentral:rRNA from 1 species
CCUACGGGUGGCUGCAGUGGGGAAUAUUGGACAAUGGGGGGAACCCUGAUCCAGCCAUGCCGCGUGUGUGAAGAAGGCCCUCGGGUUGUAAAGCACUUUCAGUGAGGAAGAACGCCUGGUGGUUAAUACCCAUCAGGAAAGACAUCACUCACAGAAGAAGCACCGGCUAACUCCGUGCCAGCAGCCGCGGUAAUACGGAGGGUGCGAGCGUUAAUCGGAAUUACUGGGCGUAAAGCGCGCGUAGGUGGCUUGAUAAGCCGGUUGUGAAAGCCCCGGGCUCAACCUGGGAACGGCAUCCGGAACUGUCAAGCUAGAGUGCAGGAGAGGAAGGUAGAAUUCCCGGUGUAGCGGUGAAAUGCGUAGAGAUCGGGAGGAAUACCAGUGGCGAAGGCGGCCUUCUGGACUGACACUGACACUGCGGUGCGAAAGCGUGGGUAGCAAACAGGAUUAGAUACCCUUGUAGUC